AACCACAAGGCAAUUAAGCAGGUUGGUGGUAUAACUUCUAGAUUACCAAUAAGCAUCUCAAUAUUUAUCCCAUGUGCACUGAGUUUUUUGGCUUGUCGAUGUCGUUAUCUCCUCUUCUUUUCUUUCAUUUUUUGUUUAGUUUGUAUUUGACAUUAAAAUGGAAUUGCAAACUGCAAGCAGAUAGCAAGUCAGAAGCAUCAAAGAGUCAUGGAAACCGUCUGCCUCGAUCGUUCCAGGAGAAACUUGAUGAGAGGGCAGCUCGAGGUAUGCUUGAGGUUUCUAUAUAGUACAAUUUCAUUUGUUUGCAAGGCUCCAUUUGGGUGGUAGGUUAAUUAAGUCAUUAGUUUGGGGAAGGAAUACAAUAUGCAUCGACGUUUCACUUCAAUAACUACUAAAUGGAAUAUCUUUCUUUCUUUCUAACUGAAUUGUUGAAUAGAAUUGAGUCAGUAUGUCUAGAUUGCCUAAGCUACCCGUUCAUGUUGUGCUGGGAGUCAGUUGCCAGAAAAAUUUGUGUAAUUGGCUCAAUAGUUUAUGACUAUAUUUAUGUAUACAUAUAUGUUGUGCAGCAAGAAAAGUUUACUUGUGCCUACUAUAUAUAAAGUUUGUUUUCCUUUUUAGUUUUAUGGUUUCGUGAAGAUUUUCUGGAAUUUGCUUGGGCGGCCUCCCGUCCUCCGCAUAUUUAGAUGAUUUACUCAUAUUAGUUUACGCAUGAAUUCGUUAAUUACCCUUUUGUGCUAGGAAUAUAUUCACCGAGUAUGUCGUUGUGUAAUUGUCUUUCAUUUCUGCCUACUUGAUGGGCCUUGAUAUGAUUUUGCAAUGGGAUCAUAACUUUAGCUACCACUAUUUACUAGGGAUAGACGUCCCUGACAAAUUCAAGUUCAAAAAGAAGACGAAGGAAAAGAACAAAAGUCUAUUCCCAUUGAGGAUGGAAUUAUAAUCGAAGAUGAUGACUAGUGAAGACGAUGAUGAUGACUUUGAACCACCAAGUGGUGGAAUUCCAUAUGAUGGAAACUCUACGAAGCCUGAGGAUAUUGCGGAAUGGGUGAGAAUGGGGCUAAAGCUUUGGCGACAAAAUUUGAUAGGAAGGAAAGUUUGUUGCUUAUCUAGUGUUAUGUCUUCUAGAAUUUGUUCCGGUCGUUGUGUAGUGCUAUGUCAUCUGGAACUUGUCGUAUUAAUUAUGUUAUUAUUUAUGUUCAAGAAAUGUACAAGUGUCAUCACUCAUUGUAGUGUUAUGUCUUGUAGAACUCAUCUUACUACAAAAGUGCUGGUGUGUG
rnacentral:lncRNA from 1 species